AUGGUACUCCCUCCGUCCAGAAAUACUUGUCAUCAAAAUAAAUAGAAGGGAAUGUAUCUAGAUGUAUUUUAGUUUUAGAUACACCCCUUUUUGUUCAUUUUGAUGACAAGUAUUUUCGGACGGAGGUAGUAGUAU
rnacentral:pre_miRNA from 1 species